rnacentral:lncRNA from 1 species
CCAUUUUAUAUCGAUUGUGAAUUGAAACUUACUUUCAAUUCUCCCUUUAGUGAUUACACACGUUUAGGGCUUUCACAAACCAUGAGUGACACCUUGCAGCAUAUCAUGGUUACCCAAGCUAAUCAGAAGAGGUAGAGAAAACCUAUUCAGUUUGGGAUUACAAAUGCAAUACGGUCUUUCUCUAAUCUAAUACUCCUGACCACAUUGUUUGGUUUGAUAGUUUAUUUAUCCAUGUCUACUAUCCAAUGUGAUUCGUGUGCUUAUAUGAUUACAUUGAAUGUGAUUUAGAACGACUUUUCUAAAUCUCAUUCAUACUCUGGCCAGAGAUUCUAAAUCAUAUCAUAGAGUAUUCUCCCUCAAACAGUUUGAAGGUUAGAGAUCCCUUGUUGCGCAUUCACUUGCCUCCAUGGCUAAGUGGCUUAACCCCAACGAUGCCGUGGACACUCCAAUGGAAUGACGUUUGACAUAAUCAAAGAUCAAGGACUUAACCAUAAGACAACUGUGAUAACUCAGGUGAAAUGACUACUUUGCAUUAUCCCAACCAUGAGUUCUCAUGUGACAUGAGUAUGAGAACUCUUCGUUGAUCGCGUUCAAUGAACUCAUUCUCUACUGAGCACCUACGUACUUGUCUUGAUGUCACACACACCAAUGACUCGAGACUAGUCACUCUCCCUGAGAGAAGACAUAGCACGUACCGAUCUUGACGGACUGUCAAUGUCCAAUUGGCAAUCCUAUGAUCAGGAACAUUUAGGAUGUGUCUACGAAAGAAUGGUCUCAUGAAUCUAACUUCAUUAGAUUGCAUUCUCCCAAUCACAUUUUCCUUGGAAUUUAUCGUUUAAGCAUAUAACAUUUAUAUGAGACGGCUCAAACAAUAAUCUUUGCCCUUUAUAUUAAACUAGAUUAGCUUAACAUGUGAAAUGUCCGUAAAGUAUCAUCACAUGAUUGGUUUUAGGGCACAUUUCCAACACAUUUCACAUGUUAAACUAAUCUAGUUUAAUAUCAAGGGCAAAGAUUAUUGUUUUAAGCCGUCUCAUAUAAAUGUUAUAUGCUUAAACGAUAAGUCCAAGGAAUAUGUAAUUAGGAGAAUGUAAUUUAAACAAGUUAGAUUUAUGAGACCAUUCUCUUUCGUAUACAUAUCCUAAACGUUCCUGAUCAUAGGAUUGCCAAUUGGGCAUUGAUAGUCCGUUAAGAUCAGUACGUGUUGUGUCUUCUCUCAUGGAGAGUGACUUGUUUCGAGUCAUUGUGUGAUUGACACCAAGACAAGCAUGUAGGUGCUCAUUAGCGAAUGAGUCCACUGAACACGAUCAAGGAGGAGUUCUCAUACUCAUGUCACAUGAGAACUCAUGGUUGGGAUAAUGCAAAGUAGUCAUUUGACCUGAGGCAUCAUAGUUGUCUUGUGGUUAAGUCCUUGAUCUUUAACUAUGUCAAAGUCACUCAAUCAGAGGAUGUCCACGGCAUAGUUAGGGUUAAGCCACUUAGCCAUGGAGGCAAGUGAAAGCGCAACAAGGGAUCUCUAACCUUCAAACCGUUUGAGGGAGAAUACUCUAUGAUAUGAUUAAGAAUCUCUAGCCAGAGUAUGAAUGAGAUUUAGGAAGUCAUUCCAAAUCACAUUCAAGGGAAUCAUAUAAGUAAAUGAAUCACAUUGGAUAGUAGACAUGAAUAAACUAUCAAUCCAAAUAAUGUGGUCAAGAGUAUUGUAUUAGAGAAAGACCGUAUUGCAUUGUAAUCCUAAACUGAAUAGGUUCUCCACCUCUUCUGAUUAGCUUGGGUAACCAUGACAUACUGCUAGGUGUCACUCAUGGUUUGUGGAAGCCCUAAACGUGUAUAAUUACUAAAGGGAGAAUUGAAAGUAAGUUUCAAUUCACAAUCGAUUUGAAAGAGUUCUAAUCGCCCACUGCCUCGCUAAAAGGAACCUAAUGGAUCGUACACCAUGUAAGGUAAAGAUUGAAGAAACAACGGAGAUGAGUAAGAAUAAUUAAAUGGUUUAAUUAUUUAUGGCAAGGAUUAAUUAAUAUGUUAAUUAAUCAAACGAAUAAAGUUCGUUAAAAGACCUAGGUUUAGUUUUGGGCCUUAAGGCCCAAUGGGCUUCGAACGUCAAGCCCAUUGACUUAAGUUGUAUGACAACUUAAUGACUAAAUAUUCACAAAGGCCCAAACAACCCAAUAAUACCCUAUGGCCGGCCAUAUUGAUAAUGAAGUGGGUUUUGGACUUAUUACAAGUUUGCCACUCCAAUGAAGGUAGGUAUAAUUAUGACUUUAUAGCCUUUUCUUCAUUAGGGUUUCUUUUGGGAGAAAAGAUGAGAACAAAAUCUCUCUUUGCUCUCUAAGAGGCCGGCCACCCUAGAGGAACAUAGCUAGCAAUCUUACUUCCUCUAGGUCACUCAUUUCUUCAUCAAUCCUUACUUGGUGUGGAGACUUAGAGGUUCUCAACUUUGAGAACUUGGAGAAAUCAAUUCUUCCAUCCAAAUCCAUUGAGCUAAGAAGCAAGGAAUGAAGGCCCUAUCUCUUGGGUGAUUAUCCUUUGCUUAUGCAAAGAGGAAUCAACAAAGGUAUAAAUUUCUCAACUCACUUUGUUUUGAGUUGAGUCUUGGUUCACCUAACUACUAGGCUUUGAAUUUCAUGGGUAAUGUUUUGUUUUUGAGUGCAUACAAGCAUGAUUCCGCCUUUAAUUGUUAAUUGCAUGCUAUAUAGAUGUUGCUCAAAUGAACAUGUUUUUCACAAAAUUUCCUUCAAACUUAAUUUACUUGUUGUCAUUUACUUUUGUUUUUAUUAAAUUCGUCCAAAAUCCCCCCAGUCAUUGUUUUUUUGUUAGUUUAACUUAGUUUUCAGUUUUAUAAGUUUAAUUUGUGUUGAUUAGAAUCCCUUCUAAUCCAUGGAAUACAACAAUCCCUACUUACUCGUACUACGAUUGCAUAAUUUAUAGGGUUUAAUUUAUGUGUUAGUUUCUACCAAAUCAAUGAAAAGAGAGAAAAAUAGUGACUGAAGUUGUGAAAUUCACUUAGAAUGAAAAGUGUGUGUAAAAGUGGCUGAAAUGCUAGGUUUUAUGAUGUUAAAGAGGCUAUUACAGAUUGCCAAUACAUCCCAGUAAUUGGGCAUUUAAUUCCCACAUUUUUUUUACUGUUAUUGGUCUUAUAAAGAGCCAUAUUCAUCACCAUAUUCAGUUUCCACUUUUAAUUCUUUGUCUACAUCAGCAUCCUUAUUCAAUUCUCCACUUUUAGCACCAUUUUGCCUUAUUUGUCCUCAACUAAGCUCCAAAAUACGAUUAGCUGCACAUUAACACAAAAGAGGGUAAAAUGAACUAGUUUAACUCAAAAAUAUCACCAAGGGACUAGGAAAAAAUGGUACAAAUGUAUGAAAUAUAUGAGUUAUCAGAGUUCGAGGAGUCGAAGUUUAGGCCAAACCUUUUGAGGAUUUUUCAGGCCAUUUCCCAUCCAU